ACUGGUUAAACUUAAAGCCGAUAUUUUCUAUCGAACUAGUCUAUUUUCUGUUCAGACACAAAGUUUUCUGAUGCUGAUAUUAUGUCAGUGUGUGUUUGUGUGGGGGUCGUGUGAUGUAAUCUUUGAAAGUUUAUGACCGAACCUUUAUUGGGGAGCGACAAGAGAUCUCCCGGACUCAGUUUGGAUGGAGCAGAGCUGUUAUACUCAAGUCUAUUGCGAAAUUGUCUAAACUGGUAUUAACUAUUCCUGGUAAAUCGCGGAGAAGAGUGGAAUGAACAAAAAAAGUCAGACCGAGACUAGAACCUCCCGCAGCGUAACACGGAAAUCUUGGAACAAAAGAGACGCCGAGUGGCUCGUGUUGUCCGGUUUGGAUAUCAGCGGCAAAGCGAACGUUGUGUGUAUUGCAAAAUAUAUAGUGGAUCUCCAC